CGUCUGCAUUCUAAAGUGCCAAAGUUUUCAGACACUCCACAGCACAUCCAGUUGAGGCUGCCGUAAUUAUAACCAUGACCAUAUUGUUGCAAAGUUUUGAUCAUUAUUGAAUUGUUUGAUUAUACAUAGUGAGCAUUUGGCAAAUGAGUCCGUUCACGCCAAAGUUUCCUUUUGUUUCUCAAUUGCCUAUAUGGGUUUUCCGUCAUGUAAACGCGGAUGAGACAAAGCAGUCCAUAUUGAGGAAAUGUUGGAGACCAAACACCCCAUGUGCAUUAGAUUUUAUGUCUCCCUUAUUUACCCAAAAAUUCAGUGCUUUAAGAAGAUUGUGUGCUGUGUCUGGGUCAAAAUCAAUAAUAAAUGUCACCACGGCAAGGCUUUUCAAGUACAGUUAUGAUGCCACCUCUGCUCUGGAAGAAUCCAUUGACAAAACAAGUACUUAACAAAGCAAAAAGAAUUCCAAUCUAUGCUAGGAUUGGCCUGGAUCAUAGUUCCAGGUUCAACAGCGAAGAAAGUUAAUUAAGAUUGAUAACUUUUAAUCUCUUCGUUCAACAUGUUCUACAGCCAUUCUCUUACUACUACGUGAAAAGCAAGAUUAUUGAGCAAGACCAAACUCUAGAAUCUGCACGUCACGACCGACAUCGGCGAGAAUGCUGUAAAACGCAUCUUUACCGCUAAAACGAACAUUUGGGGGAAAACAAUUGGCUCUGGUGAUGAAUUACAUGCAGUGAAGGAAUCUAAUACGUGACACUAAUGAAGCCCCCAUCAAAUGAACUGUUGCUGCAGUUUGACCAAAAAUGGAAUUCAAAAGCCCCUUCAUCACGAAUUAUACCAUAUGAGAACUGUAGGUACUAGGUGGGUGACGGAGAACCAAAUACCGCCGCAGCUGGUAUUCCCUGGGUCUUUUACGUUUAUUCCCGACUGGCUGUGAAUGCAGGUGGAGCUGAAAUGGCCAUC